AUUUAUACUUUAAAAUGAAUUUUUUAAUUUAGGUCAUCUAUAAAGAGGGAGAGAAAGAAUGAAGAGAGCGUGUUACCCAAGACUCAAAGAGAGCAGAGAAUCAAGAGAGUGAAAAAUGCGAAGGCAGCUGGGCGUUGGGCUGCUUACUAAAAUCGCAAGAAAUGGCCCUUCGAUCAACGUAAUAUCGCCAAAAUCUGCGUCUCUCUCCUCAUUCCUCAACCCCAAUUCCACCCCAUUUCAUCAUCGCUCUCUCUUGAAGUAUUCCACGCUUUCACGUUCUCACCUAUGGAAAAUAUGCAGUCCCAAUGGCCUUAGAGGGAGCAUCCAAAAUGGGGCUUUUCCCACUUCACUUGUCGCAACAAGGUUUUUUUCCAACGCCCUUUUGCAGGGGCGACCCAAAUUUCCUGUUACGUUCCUUAACAGGAGAUCACUGUCUUCGUUUUCACCAGACAGCCGGUGGAUAUCAUUUUUUAGAAGGUUUAUACCGGACCGAUGUGUGGUGUUAAUGAUAGUGACCAAUACUGCUGUCUUUAUGUUGUGGAAGGUUGCAGACACAGAUUUUAUGAUCAAGAAUUUUAUGAUUUCUGUACAACACAUCAAAUGUGGCCUGCUCUACACAUUUAUAACCAGUGCGUUCAGUCAUAUAAAGACGGAUCACCUUAUUGCAAAUAUGCUGAUAUUCUCCAUCUUCGGAACACGUAUAGCAAGAAAGUUUGGACCUCAAUAUUUGCUGAAGUUGUAUCUAGGUGGUGCAACUGCUGGCUCCAUCUUUUAUCUGGUAUUUCAGGCUUUCGUAGCUCCAUCAGUCGAGGUUGAACGGCCAGAAAUUAGCCAUUCGGAUGUUUCAGCACUGAUUUGUGGUGAUGUUAUGUUUUUAGGGUGCGAGUGCUGCUGUGAAUGCGAUAGUGCUGCUCGAUGUAUUGCUAUUUCCACCAGUUCCUGUUUUUUUAGUGGGGGUGUUUAUAAUCGGCAGGGACAUGUUGUCAUGGAAGAAGGUACGUUUAUUCUAUAAUCGUCAUUGAAAAAAAUCUGAUUCGUCACAAAAAUCCGAUUCCAAUUCUUAUUUAGGAGAGGAUUGAGAUCUGCAUCUUCCCCGGGGUGCGGGUGGUAAGGGAGUAUCAUUGAAAUUCCGAUUCAUCAAUCAUAGUGUGGUUGCCUUGUUUAGUAUAUAGGCGACAGAGAGGUUUCUGGAAGUCCCGCUCAUUUAGGUGGAUUUAUGGCCGGUGGCUUUGCGUGGCUGUGGACAAUCAAGGGACGCUUUCCACGAUUCUGACUCAUUUAUUUCUACUCUAUAAUUGCAUUCAUCAGAUUAGGCUUGCUGUUUUUGGACUAUAUUUUCAUUGCUUUUCAGAUUUUAAUUACCAAAUUUGGAUCCAUCUUGCCACUAUUUUCACAUGAAUUCUUGAUUAGAUUUGAUAUUCAUCUUUUCA